rnacentral:rRNA from 1 species
CUACGGGGAGGCAGCAGUAGGGAAUCUUCCACAAUGGGCGCAAGCCUGAUGGAGCAACACCGCGUGAGUGAAGAAGGGUUUCGGCUCGUAAAGCUCUGUUGUUUAAAGAAGAACACGUAUGAGAGUAACUGUUCAUACGUUGACGGUAUUUAACCAGAAAGUCACGGCUAACUACGUGCCAGCAGCCGCGGUAAUACGUAGGUGGCAAGCGUUAUCCGGAUUUAUUGGGCGUAAAGAGAGUGCAGGCGGUUUUCUAAGUCUGAUGUGAAAGCCUUCGGCUUAACCGGAGAAGUGCAUCGGAAACUGGAUAACUUGAGUGCAGAAGAGGGUAGUGGAACUCCAUGUGUAGCGGUGGAAUGCGUAGAUAUAUGGAAGAACACCAGUGGCGAAGGCGGCUACCUGGUCUGCAACUGACGCUGAGACUCGAAAGCAUGGGUAGCGAACAGGAUUAGAUACCCUGGUAG